UUGGGAUCUUCUGUGUUACCUCGGAAUUUGGAGUUUUUGCCCUUGAUCUUCUGUGCGUUAACCUUCUUGUGAAUAAAUCCUGAGUUUCCCUGCAUCUGGUCUGCAAUUGGGUCUACCUCGAAAUUCGUGACCGCUAACCUGCAUACCUAUCAUCAUCACUGUUUAGAAAAUGCGUAGAUUUGUCUUCAUAGGUAGCAUCUUCCUCUGCUUUGUGGUGAAUGGCCUUUCUGUGCAUGAAUCUAAACAUGGACAGCUGUCCCAAAGCCAUACCAAAGGCAUACCAAAGGAAAGAGUGUAUGAACAGGUCCAAAUCAAGUAGAUGUUAUCCUGGAGAAUGUCUGCGUUUGGAGCUGAAGAAAUUCAACAUCACCUAUCAAAUCCCUGGAUUCUGCAGUGUCUGUAAAAUAGUGCUGGGCAAGGUCAUCAGUCAAAUACAUGAAAGAAACAAAGGCCCAGUUGGAAACCAUCCUACACCGGAUUUGCAAAGCUAUUGGUGUACCAGCUUGGAUUUGUAGCAAAUUUGUGACAAGCCACCAUGUCCAAAUUAUCAUCGACAUCCUCAAUAACCAUCUGAGGGAUCCAAGGAAAAUCUGUGUUCCUACAUAUGUGCAGGCAGGCAGAGCCCUGGAACAAACACAAUGUUGAGAAACUCUGUGACAUGCAUGUUGUGGAACCCAUUUGCGAGGAUAGAUAAAUUGGUAAUAUGCUAUUGUGUGAACUUGCAUUCAGUCAUGUUUUAUUAAUUGAUUAUGAUGCUCUUCGGUGCUGUAAUGCUCUGCUUCGCUUCCAUAUCAUCAUUGUCAAAGUUAUCAUUCAGUGGUUGUGUUGUUGUGAUAGAGUGAUUAUUAAUACUUUAAUAUGUUUAUGACUAGUGCUGUUUUCAGAUGGUUAGCUCUUUCAAUGCCUGUGUUAUGAUCUGUGCAAAUGCAAACUUCUGCUUGGUUGGAUACGGUGAAAUGUGAAACUACCAAUCUCUAUAUUCUUCUCCAUUUUUAGUAAAUUGCUGGAGGGUGUGAGAAUCUGAAUUAUACAGCCAACAACUCAGCUUUUGAUCAAAAUGAUCACACUCCACAAACAGUGAUUUGGGCCAUGAUCAUGGGCCAUUCAUUUGGGCAAGAACUGCAUUCCUUUAACUUUGUCUAAUAUUCAUCCAAAGCAUCUGAUUUUAUUUGAUUUUGAAGGGCUGGAAUUUUACAUUACAUCCAAAGAAGGAAAAUACAUUAAAGGUUACCUUGCAAUGUACCAUUGCAAUGGCAUGAUUCCUAUGAAAUAUCUCAUCAUCUGCAGAGGGGUCAAACUGUUGACCUUGUUUGGAUAGCAUGACUUGCUGAUGAAGAAGAUCGGCUCGGUCUUAAUAAUCACACUCACACCAAUUUAGCUUUUAGGGGAACAGAAAGGCCAAAGGUGUUAAUCUGAUGUCGGG
ensembl:lncRNA